UGAUUGGCGGGAUCCCUCGCGGG
rnacentral:snRNA from 1 species